GGUGGUGUGGCUCAAGUGGUAGAGCACUUGCCUAACAAGUGCAAGACUCUGAGACCAACCCUCAGUACUGCCA
rnacentral:tRNA from 1 species